UACGUAGGGGGCAAGCGUUGUCCGGAUUUAUUGGGCGUAAAGAGCGUGUAGGCGGCUUGGUAGGUCCGCUGUGAAAACUCGAGGCUCAACCUCGAGAUGUCGGCGGAAACCACUUGGCUAGAGUCCGGAAGAGGAGAGUGGAAUUCCUGGUGUAGCGGUGAAAUGCGCAGAUAUCAGGAGGAACACCUGCGGCGAAGGCGGGUUGCUGGGCUGACACUGACGCUGAGGCGCGAAAGCUAGGGGAGCGAACGGG
rnacentral:rRNA from 1 species